rnacentral:rRNA from 1 species
CCUACGGGGGGCAGCAGUAGGGAAUCUUUCACAAUGGGCGAAAGCCUGAUGGAGCAACGCCGCGUGCAGGAUGAAGGCCUUCGGGUUUUAAACUUCUUUUAUAAGCGAGCAAUAUUAUUGUAACUUAUGAAUAAGGAUCGGCUAACUACGUGCCAGCAGCCGCGGUCAUACGUAGGAGCCGAGCAUUAUCCGGAGUGACUGGGUGUAAAGAGUUGCGUAGGUGGUAUAAUAAGUAGCUAGUGAAAUCUGUUGGCUCAACGAUUCAGCCUAUUAGGUAAACUGUUAAGCUCGAGACCGUUAGGGGUAACUGGAAUUUCUAGUGUAGGAGUGAAAUGCGUAGAUAUUAGAAGGAACACCAAUAGCGUAGGCAGGUUACUGGGCCGGUUCUGACACUAAGGCACGAAAGCGUAGGGAGCAAACAGGAUUAGAUACCCGAGUAGUC